GAGUUCCCACCCCAGCCACGUGCGGCUUCUGUGAUGACAGGUCUAGAGGGGCGGGGCUUUGGUCAGCCGGCUGCAAGCCCUAGCUGACUCGACCCAGACGCGGGUGGGGACCCGGAACCCGGGACAAAGCGCAAGCCUGAGGGCUCCGAGACCUGCUAGGACUCUCUCGAGCUUUCUUACUGGCGUGAGCAGCAUGCGAAAUUUGAAACUUUUUGUAGGGAUGUCUGGGUUAGCAAGUGCGUUUCCCCGAAUGGGAUAGGUCAGUGUGCAUGGUAGUGUAAGAAAUUUCCGGGGUCUGUGAAAAUAGGGGAAUCGGUGGUGGAGUUUCAGGCUUCUGAAGCCUGCGAUGUGCGGGCAGACCUAGUUUCUGGCAGGCGAGCUAAGGGUCAGAUCUUUAUCUGUUGAGGUAAAGGAGAUCUGUGGGUUUUACAAGUAUAAGUAUUAAUUCGGGGUUAUGGGGGUCUGAAAUUGCUGGAGAAAGUGGGUUUUCCCCCUUGUACAGGUGUUGAGUGAAGUUUGUGACUAUUACAGAUGUUCUGAAGUUUAAUUAAUCCUUAAGUCCUCUUCUCGCCUACCUACCCCGAGAUUUAUAGCAAGGUAGCAAGAUGCUUCCCAGAUACCGAUAGAUGGCAGCACAGGACUCUUGCAAAACAGCCUAGACAGCAGAUUUGGGGCUUCUUGAAGGAGCCAACCCGGGAAGAGGGUCGGGAUCCAACCUACUCAAGUUCUGAGGUUCUGAAAGUCUGAGAUUCUUUUGGUUCUGUGACUUUUUAUGAGUAUUUAACUUAAACUGCUGGUCUAAGCGUCAAUAGUGUGCCAGGCGCAAAAAAGAAAGAAAAAGGCAUUUCCCUGCCCUUAAGGAAUUUUUUGUUUAGACAGAACGGAUCUAUAGAUAAAGCUGGAAGGGUUUUAUAUGUGAAAAAAGCAUAGGGUUUGAAAUCACCUGUGUUGCUUUCCGAACUUUGGGUAUUUGCUUGUGGGUAGAUUAAUUUUUUUUAAUAAACUCUAAAUUUUAGAACAAUUUUAGAUUUACAGAAAAUUUAUGAAGAUAGCAUAGAGUUUCCAUAUACACUACAAUUCAAUUUCCCCUAUUAUAGGUUCAUUUGUCAUAAUUAAUGAACCAAGCCAGGGCGGUUGUGCACUACUCUAAUAACAGUGACUCUGGAGGCUGGAGGCAAAAGGAUCACAAGUUCUAUGGAAGCCUGAAUAACUUUAGUGAGCCCCUCAGCAACUGUUAUGGUUUGGAUAUUAGGGGUCUCCCCGGAAGCUCAGUAUUAAUGCAGGAAUGUUCUUAGGUGAAAUGACUGAAUUGUGAGAGUUGUAACCUUUUCAGUUCAUCCCAGUUUGAAUAGAUCAACUGGGGUUCUAACUGUAGCCAGGUGGAGGAGGUGGGUUGUUGGUAGCAUGUGGUAGAAGGGUUCAUCUUCCUUGCAGUGCCUUCUCUGCUUCCUGGCCAUCAUGAAUAGAGCAGUGCUCCACCAUUAAGCCCUUCUGCCUCAUCUUGGGCCUAGAGCCAGUGAGGUAGUCAAGGACACGAACUGACCCUCUGAAACUAACUGGGACCUUCUCAGAAACUGAGGCAGUGCAAAGGCCCCCCACUUCAACCUGUAAUGCUUUGGAUCAAAUCAGAAAGAUUUCAAACAUGUUGCUCAGAGGUCUUGCUAAAUUGCUGAAGCUGAUCUUGAACUUUAAUCCUCCUGCCUCAUCCUAUUG